rnacentral:rRNA from 1 species
AACGAACGCUGGCGGCAUGCCUAACACAUGCAAGUCGAACGAGACCUUCGGGUCUAGUGGCGCACGGGUGCGUAACGCGUGGGAAUCUGCCCUUUGGUUCGGAAUAACAGUUAGAAAUGACUGCUAAUACCGGAUGAUGACUUCGGUCCAAAGAUUUAUCGCCAGAGGAUGAGCCCGCGUAGGAUUAGGUAGUUGGUGGGGUAAAGGCCUACCAAGCCGACGAUCCUUAGCUGGUCUGAGAGGAUGAUCAGCCACACUGGGACUGAGACACGGCCCAGACUCCUACGGGAGGCAGCAGUGGGGAAUAUUGGACAAUGGGCGCAAGCCUGAUCCAGCAAUGCCGCGGGAGUGAUGAAGGCCUUCGGGUCGUAAAGCUCUUUUACCAGGGAUGAUAAUGACAGUACCUGGAGAAUAAGCUCCGGCUAACUCCGUGCCAGCAGCCGCCGCAGUAA